CUUUACUUUUCUGGGUAGAGAUCCAAGAGCUACGAUCCAAGACCAAGGAACACUGCAGAUUAAGAAUUUACGGAUUUCUGAUACUGGCACUUAUACAUGUGUGGCUACAAGUUCGAGUGGGGAGACUUCCUGGAGUGCAGUGCUGGAUGUAACAGAAUCUGGAGCAACAAUCAGUAAAAAUUAUGAUACAAAUGACCUCCCGGGGCCACCAUCCAAACCUCAGGUCACUGAUGUUACGAAGAACAGUGUCACCCUAUCCUGGCAACCAGGUACCCCUGGCGUUCUUCCAGCAAGCGCAUAUAUCAUUGAGGCUUUCAGCCAAUCGGUGAGCAACAGCUGGCAGACAGUGGCAAACCAUGUUAAGACGACUCUCUAUACAGUC
rnacentral:lncRNA from 1 species